rnacentral:rRNA from 1 species
GACGAACGCUGGCGGCGUGCUUAACACAUGCAAGUCGAACGGAGUUACGUAUGAAGUAUUUCGGUACGGACUAUGUAACUUAGUGGCGAACGGGUGAGUAACACGUGGGCAACCUGCCCUUAACCGGGGGAUAACAUUGUGAAAACAGUGCUAAUACCGCAUAACAGAGUAUCGGGCAUCCGAUAUUUUUAAAAGGAGCAAUCCGGUUUAGGAUGGGCCCGCGUCCAAUUAGCUAGUUGGUGAGGUAACGGCUCACCAAGGCUACGAUUGGUAGCCGAACUGAGAGGUUGAUCGGCCACAUUGGGACUGAGACACGGCCCAGACUCCUACGGGAGGCAGCAGUGGGGAAUAUUGGGCAAUGGGCGAAAGCCUGACCCAGCGACGCCGCGUGAAGGAUGAAGGUCUUCGGAUUGUAAACUUCUUUAGAUCAGGGAAGAAAGAAAUGACGGUACCUGAAGAACAAGCCACGGCUAACUACGUG